rnacentral:rRNA from 1 species
UGGGAAAUUUUGGACAAUGGGCGCAAGCCUGAUCCAGCCAUGCCGCGUGCGGGAAGAAGGCCUUCGGGUUGUAAACCGCUUUUGUCAGGGAAGAAAUCUUCUGGGUUAAUACCUCGGGAGGAUGACGGUACCUGAAGAAUAAGCACCGGCUAACUACGUGCCAGCAGCCGCGGUAAUACGUAGGGUGCAAGCGUUAAUCGGAAUUACUGGGCGUAAAGCGUGCGCAGGCGGUUAUGCAAGACAGAUGUGAAAUCCCCGGGCUCAACCUGGGAACUGCAUUUGUGACUGCAUAGCUAGAGUGCGGCAGAGGGGGAUGGAAUUCCGCGUGUAGCAGUGAAAUGCGUAGAUAUGCGGAGGAACACCGAUGGCGAAGGCAAUCCCCUGGGCCUGCACUGACGCUCAUGCACGAAAGCGUGGGGAGCAAACAGGAUUAGAUACCCUGGUAGUCCACGCCCUAAACGAUGUCAACUGGUUGUUGGGAAGGUUCCUUCUCAGUAACGUAGCUAACGCGUGAAGUUGACCGCCUGGGGAGUACGGCCGCAAGGUUG